UCCCCGUUACCGGGGCAGUCUGACUAGAAAAAUCCAACUAAUCAUAAGGGUUGCGCUCGUUAAAGGACUUAACCUAACAUCUCACGACACGAGCUGACGACGGCCAUGCAACACCUGUCACUUGGUUCCCGAAGGCACACUCUGCUUUCACAGAACUUCCAAGGAUGUCAAGUCUGGGUAAGGUUCUUGGCUUAGCCUCCAAUUAAACAACACGCUCCACCGCUUGUGCGGGUCCCCGUCUAUUCCUUUGAGUUUUAAUCUUGCGACCGUACUCCCCAGGCGGGAUGCUUAACGCGUUAGCUUCGCUACUGAAGCGGGUCGAUACGCCCAACAGCUAGCAUCCAUCGUUUACGGCGUGGACUAC
rnacentral:misc_RNA from 1 species